rnacentral:miRNA from 1 species
CUUUCCUCUCGGCUUC